UGCAGACCUGGUUAUCGUGUCCUUCAAUAUGAUCCAUGAAAAAUCCAUUUGGGAGGAAUUGGAAUUGCUGCUAUACUAACUCUUCUAAUCCAUGAACACGGUAACACGGAAACAUUAGCAGGAACUGACUUUCUCAUGCUGACUUAUUAAGGAUCUUCACUUCUUCCAGAUUCCUAUAUUUUGGACAUUUCACUGCUCAUUAGAUUCUCCACCAAGGAUAAUGAAGGGGAUAGAAAUAAGAAGAAUUUGGCUGGUGAAAAAGAUUGUCACAAUGAUUGAUACAUUGACUAACAAAAACUUGCCAAGUAUAUGAGAAUUUUCUUAUUUUAAUAUCUCCUCAUGGCUCAUAGUUAGCCAAGAUCUUAUGCAUACAGGCACUUAUUUUACAUUUCAGGAAUCUUCAUUACAAUUUGCAAGUGUUAUUUUCUGUGUAAGAUGUCAUAUUAUUCGCUGUAUUGUGAAGACUUUUAUUUUAUAUGUAUGAAGAAUUUCAGUUUCUGUGACGCCUCAAUACCUAAUGAUGCUUGUCAUUAGUUCUGGUGCUCUUCUGUACUAAAAAUAAGUUUGAUUGGCAUGAACAGUCACUGUAUUCUUAUCCUAGGAUUUUUUUCCCAUUUAGAUAAUCAAAUUUAAAAAUCAAUACUGUGCAUUUUAAUGAAGAAUCUAUUUUAAAGUUAAUCUUCUAAAAACACCAUAGCAGAUUCUUAACUUAUACCUGGAACACAGCCAGAAAAAGUUUGGCAAUGUAGCAAUCAGACAAUCAGUCAUUAGACAAUUGUUCUUUUUCUUUAACUUAUUUAUGAGGCCACACACAAAAAGGAGUAAAGAACCUUGCAGGAACAUCCUGUAAAGAGUAUAGAAGGGGGUGGGCAUAAGAUUUAAACUGAUGAAUCCUCAAAUGAUUUUAUUAAAAUCUAAAGGUUGCAUAAUUUAUAAAGAGGAUUUUCUAAAUUACUAACAGCACAAUAAUCAUUUACAACUGAGGCAAGACAUCACUUUCUCUCAUACAACUAAGAACAAACUAGUUUGAAGAGACAAAGUUUCCAAAAAGUACAUGUGUACAUGGUUGUGUUUUCUGCAAGGGGUCCCAAAAGCCUCCCCUUCUCAGUGCAUGAAGAAAACAGCCUCAUUUGUCAGUUUGCCAAUGAUGUGAGACCUCCCUGUUCAAUAAAGUAGCUUCAUCCUUUCUUUAUUCAAGCAAGACAAGUUUGCUGGACACGGCAGAAACUGAGAAGAAGACAGUACAUCUAUUUUCCACUUGGUGGAGGGAGUAAGCAAGGCUUAAGAGAAAAUGUCAGAAGCCUGUUAAAAGACAGAAUCCUAUACCUCACCAAAAAGCUACUGCAGAUAUGCAAAGACGACAGGGACCUGCAUCCAUUCUAACAGAGAAUAAUGUAGGCUGGGGUGCAAGAGGAUCUUCGGUCCUACUGUGACCUCCAACUUUUCCUUCUACUUGUGGCUUCUUCCAAUCUCAUCUCCAGCUCUCUCGUUUGGGAUAUUUAACUUUUAAGAAACUGCUGGUUUCCAUAACAGUUAUUCUAUUUUACAUGGACACCAAUAAUACACGGGGUUCUAGUUGUUCCAUAUCCUCACCAAUAUUUGAUAUUUUAGUAUUUUUCAUUUCAAGCAUUCAAAUGAGGGUGUUGUCGCAUCACACUGUGGUUUCAGUUUGCAUUUUUCCAGUGAUUCAGUGGCACCAAACAACUUUUCAUAUGUGCUGUGGGAAUUCUUAUAUAAAGAUUUGGUAAAAUGUUAGACUCUUUCGUCCAUGUUUUAAUUGUGUUGUUUUUCUUUUCAUAAUUAAGUUACAGGUGUUCUUCAUAUAACCUUAAUAAAAGCUAAGAGUCAGAUACAUGUUUUAAAAAUACCUUUUCCAAAUCUGUGGCUUGACUUUCACUUUUGCAAUAUUGUUUUUUGAUAAGCAAAAUAUUUACAUUUUAGCUAAGUCCGAUUAAAUGUUUCUGUUUAUUAUUAGUGACGCUUGAUCUCACCUAAGAAAUGUUUUCCAACCCAAAACUUAUGAACAUAUUUUAUUAUAGAAUAUUUAUAGAUUUAACUUUUACAUUUAGGCCUGUGAACCAUCUCAAAUUACUGUUUUGUGUGUGAUAUAAGAAAACUUCAAGUUUUUCCAUAUAAUUAUCUAGUUGUUCCACUAUUAGUUACUGAAAAUAAUCUCCUUUCUCAGAUUAAGUUUGACAAAAAUCAGCCGAUUACAUGUGUGGAGAUCUAGGCCUAGAAUAUCUAUUUUGUGCUAUUGGUAUUUUUUUUUAUCCUAACUCCACCAGCAUCAUGUCUUACUUAUUCUAGUUUUACAAUAUGUACCAAAAUCUGGUACUAAAAUCCUCCAAUUUUGUGUUUCUCCUUCAAGAUUGUGUUGGCUAGUCAAGAGCCACAUAAUGAAGUUUUCAUUUUUAAAUAAGUUUCUUCAAUCUACAUGUCAAUUUCCACAGAAAAUUCUGCUGUAAUUUUUGUUGGAAUUGUCUUGAAAUUAUAGAUAAAUUUAGGAGAAAUGACAUCUCAAUAAAAUCAAGUUUGCCAAUCUUUAAAUUAACAUUUUUCUGGGGUUUUUUGAACAUCUUUAAUUUCAAACUAUCAAACAAGUUUUUAUACUUUGUUGUAUGGAGUUUUUACAUAUUUGUUAAUAUCUUCCUGCAUUUUUAAUUUUUGAAACUAUUAUAAAUAAUAAUUUUCUAAAUUUGGGUUUCCAGAUUUUGUUUGUUUUUGGGGGACUAUUCUAUGGACAUGCAUUGAUGUUUUUACAUUUACUUUAUAUCCUUUAUAUCCAGCAAUAUUGCCAAGUUAAUUUAUCCUUUCUAGCAGUUUCUUUAUAGACGGCAUUGAUUUACACUUUUGAUACACACAAUUAUGUCAUUAUAGGAAUAUAGUUUUAUUUUUCCUUUUAUUUAUAUAUGCUCUUUCUUUCGUCUUUCAUUCAUUCUUUCUUUCUUUUUUCCUCUUUUCCUAUUACUUUUCCUAGUACUAGCUAGGACCUGCAGAACAGUAUUUUUAAAACAUUGAUGGUAAAAUUGGAACUUUUUUCUUCCCAAAUAUAGGAGGGAAAGUUUUUGUCAUCUGUUUUGUCAUCAUUAAAUAUACUAUUACCUGUAUUCCCUAUAGGUUUUCCAUAAAUGCCUUUGUCAUUUUAAGGAAGUUUCUUUCUAUUUCUAGUUUGCUAAUAUCAUUUCUAUAGCUAAUUGAUUUUGAAUUUUAAUUGAAUAACUUUUCUUAAUUGAGACGAUUGUGUUUUCUUCUUUAUUAUGUGUAUUGAUAGAUGGUGAUGAUUGAUUUAUGAAUGUUAACCUAGUCUUUCUCUCUUAGGAUAAAACUCAUUUAAUCAUGAUUUCAAGUAUAUUGAUAAAUUUAAUUUGCUAAUAUUGAUAAAGGAAUUUUGGAAUGAUGAUGCAUUAGUCAGUUUUCACACUGACUGAAACUGAGUCAUUUAUCAACAAAAGAGGUUUAAUUGACUCACAGUUCUGCAUGGCUGGAGAAGCCUCAGGAAACUUACGAUCAUGGCAGAAGGCAAAGGAGAAACAGGCACCCUCUUACACGGUAGCAGGAGAGAGUGUGCCAUAAGGGGAAAUCCCAGACACUUAUCAAACAACCAGAUCUCAUGAGAACUUCCCUACUAUCAGGAGAAUAGCAUGGGGGAAACUGCCCUCAUGACUGAAUCACCUCCUACCAGGUCCCUACCUCAACACAUGGGGAGUACAAUUCUAGAUGAGAUUUGAGUAGGGACACAGAGGCAAACCAUAUCAGAUGCAUAUUUUUUUUUUCCUUUUAACACCUUUGUCAAGAUUGUACUGGUUUAUGAAGUAAAUGUGAAUAUAUCUUCUCUUCUAUUUUCUGAAAUAUAUAAGAUUGGCAUUUUCUUUUUAAAAAUAUUCUUUUUAGGGGUAGCUUCCUAUUUCUGCUGACAUCUUUCCCAUCCAGUUGCUUAGCUGUUCAUCUCCAAGUUCAUGUACAGGUUUCUAAUAGGUAUUUAGAAUCAUCGUUCAAUAAUUAAAACAUCUAGUUCAAUUGUGGCUUGGCUUCUAUAAGCUCUUUUAUUUCUUGAAAAUGGGCAAUGCUUUCCUACCUUUUUGCUUGUCUAGUACUUUCUGUUAUUGUAUGCUGGACAUUAUGGAUGAUAUAUUAUAGACUGUGGAUUAUGCUAUCUUUUUGCUUUGGAGGCAUUUGAUUACAGGUGGAUUGUUUUAUUUUCUUCAGCCUUGUUUUUUGUCUUUUUAAGGAUGAGUUUAUUUCAGUUUUGCCCUUAGUUCUAGAGUAAAGAACUUGCCAAAGAUAGCAUAAAGUAGUCAGCAUUAGAUCUUUACUUUAAAUGCAUGCCUGUUUGAGGGUUUCAACUGAAUGCCUGGCUUAGCUACUGAGGAGUCUGGACUCUAGUUGAGUCAAAACUUUGUCAUCUACACAACUUUUCGGGCAUGAUCUUUGUGGAAAUGUCUGCUGAGAAAUCUCUGCUGAGCUGUCGGCCCUUCAUCCUGCUAUUAUGCCUUAAUGGAAUUUCACUUUGCACCCCAAGAAUCAGAGGAUAACUCCUCUUCAGAUUUAUAGAUAGUGAGGCCUAUGGCUACCUUCCGCCUGCCAACACGCUCCACAAAUUCCAACCAUGUUAGCAGCCCCCAAACACCAAACUCUUGUUUUACUCUACCCAGUGAGAGUUCUUCCUACUUUCAAGCAUCGGACAUUGCCCCAGGCAGAAAGCCAUGACAAAUAGAACGCUUCCCCUACACUCCCAAGAGGAUUUCAGCCUUACAAUGGCUGCUAUCCAAUAGCUAUAAAUAUUUGCUUCACAUAAUUGGUCUAGUUUUAUAGUUGCUUAGAUAAUCAGUUAGAUCUAAUACUAGCUCCUUUAACAAUACUGGAACUAGAAGUUGUGGACAGCUCGUAUUCAUCAUUCAAGGUAGCAGCUUUACCUGGGACUCUUUCCCCACAUCUGGAUUAGAAGUCCCAGUCAAAAUGCCAUCUAAAUUGUUUAUAAUUCUGCCACUAUAGCAUUUAACCCACUUUUGUGUUUAUUUAUUUAAUCAUUUGUCUUCACCAAUCGAUUGUAAUCUGGCGAAUGCAUUGCCACCUCUAUCUCCCUAACUAAAUACUCUUAGGAGCUUAUCAAAAUACAUGACACACGGUGGGCAUUCAACAAGUACAUCCUAAAUAAAUAAUUAAUUAAUAUGUUCAUUUCAACAUUUCCUUGUGCCUUUCACAGCAGAUGUCUUCAUUAUUUAUCUUUGGUAAAAAUAAUUAAGCAGUCAUUUUGUAAAUAGUCAUGAAUAUUUACUAUACUUUAAAUAUGUUCUAGGUAGCAUGACAUUUUCAAGGAAGUAUACACGAGGGUUUAUUACUUUACUGAGAAUAAAGUCUAUGGGGCAGACAAUUUACAAUACAGUGUGAUAGAAAUCUAAAGAGAUGCCAAAGAGUUGGUCAGGUAAUGUUGUGCUAUGCCAAUGUUAAGAGUUCUAAUGUUAGUAUUCACAUAACUAAUUUUCAUAGUCUCGAAAUCUUCUGACAUUUUCUUCCCUUUGAAAUAUUUAUUUUCAGGAUGGUAAACUUUUUAUUCACAUAAUAACUAUUUUUAGGGAUAAGAAGGUCAGAAGCACUAACUUUCUUCAUUCCUUUCCUACCACAUGUUUAGAAUUCACAAACCAGCUUAACGGCUUAAUAAAAGAUUGAAUUCUCUUUCUUCUCCUUCCUCGAAAUCUUCUCAAGACAGUCUAAAAAGCAUUUCCCAGGUUUAAUGUCAAAAUAGAAAUUAGCAACUCAGGGCUGAACUCCUAGGAACCCUCAUUCUCUGUGAGCUCUGGAACCAGGCUCUAUUUUGAAAAUUGUGGAAAAUCAAAGUUUCUCUGUAAUGAUGUUGCUCAAAUAUCUGACCUGAAAUGAUUAUAUAGACCAAUUUAAUACUGAAGAAUAAAAGCUUAUCAUAAAAUGAGAAGACAUUAAACAAUACUCUGAUGGUAAGGAUUUCAUGUAAGAAUGUAUGGUUUUGAUCUCUUAGAACAAAAUUGACAUUGAACUAAGACAUGCCAACCACUGAGGAGUAGCAUGAGUUUUAGUCACAGCAUCUUGAGUUUGGUGAGUUACAAUAGAGAGCCUGUGUCACUCAGCUCCACAAAUUCUACCACCAUGAAAAGUUUCCAGGGAGUGGUAGAAUAUGUUUGUCCUCUUUUGCUUGCAACCCUGGUAAACUGCUCAAGAGGAAUUUUCUCAUUCCAGAUGAGAACAAAUAAUGCCCUUUCUCUUCUAGACAAGUGACUAUUUCUUCCCCCAAAACCACAGAUGCACAGAAUAGUGAUAAAAAUACAAACUUAUAUGCUGCCUCCUAUUGAAACUUCCAAAGACCAAAAGAGGAAAAAAAUUGUGAGGGGGCUUAGCCAAAAGACUUACUGAGGCUAUACAGAUUAUCUUACAUUCAGGUAAUAUAUGAUGCUGGUGUUGGGCUGAUACAUAGUGAUGCUGGGGUAGGGUUGGAGGUAAGUAUUAUACUAAUAGUCACAUAUUCUCAGAAAUCUGGGUCCUUUGAGGUCUGGCCAGAAAAGGAAUAGCAGUUCUGUCAGAGGACAUAGUAACUGCAAGAAGAGUAGCACAGACUAGGUGCAUAUUCUGAUGCCAGAAGACCUUUUCAGACAGGGUCAGCCUGUAACAGAAAUGGCUUUUAAUACAGGACAGUCCAGAUUCCCAAUUGUGUUGACAUACUGGGCUACCCAAGCACAUCACAGGUACAAAGGAAUUAGGAUGCUGGGGCUUAUUUGGGCUAAAUUACUCACAGGUGCUUCUAACAAAGGUGGCAGAUUGAACAUACACAUUUACCUCUAUAUCCUCCCUAAAUCCCAUGAAAUGACCAAAAACGUGUGAAAUAAACCCAAAAGACAAAAGAAUUGAAUAGGAGAUGACAGCGACCCAAUUUUAGACCUGAAAAGCAAAUGAGCAAAUGGUUUCUCAUUGAACAAACCAAAUAGAAAAAUGAAAACAGAAUAUGCAAAGAAGCAAAAAAUAAAUAAAUAAAGCAAGCCAAUUCACAUUACAGAACACAAAGUUUAGAAUUUGCAGACACUGGCGAGUUCUGAAAGUCAGGGUUCCCUUGGGGAUGAAAAUCACAAGAGCAAAGUAUUUUGUUUUGAAAACAGACAUUUCCAUUGUGUCUAAAAUAGUGUUUGGCAUAUUGUAAGCACUUGGUAAAUAUUUGUUGAAGAAAUGAAUUAAUAAAGUCAAGUCUUUCUAAAGAACAGCUAGACCCCCACCACUUUAUAGGACUGUAAGUUUAAUUACUGAAGAGAUAGAACAGAAGGGCUCUGGGUUUAGAAACAUCAGAUACAGCAGACGGUGAAGGUAAAGAUAAAAUUUGUUUCUGUACCCUAAAGUAUGAGAACUAUCCCUCUCUGUUUGCCCCAGAGAAUACUACAGGUUUAUUCUCUGGGAAAACAAUUUUAAGAGGAGAGAUCCACAGAUACUGACAGAAAUUCCUAAAUAAGCUGCACAAACAAACCUACCCAUAAUGAAUCUCAACAAACAUAUUUUCCUCUCUCUCUUACACAUAUACCCCCCUUUAAUCAAGUUUAGUGGCUCACUACUAAAGUCAUGGAUUACCACACAUUUGAGAAAAGUCCCUAAGAUAACAGAGAUCAAAAUAAAAAAAAAAAGAUAGGAAAAAUCGCAAAGAAACUUGGAAAAUAGAGACAGUGUGGAAGGCUGAAUACAAUUAGCAGGGGAAAAAUAACCCAGCCAUGUUAUGCUCAGAGAAAUAAUUGAGGUUGCUGCUUCCAUGAAAGAAGCGAUGAUUACACAAAAGAGAACAUUUAGAAAACAAAGGAGUGCUCUUGAAAUAAAAUACAAACAUGCCAAAGGAAAAUAAAAAUUCAGUAGAAAUUUUAGAAAAUUGACCAAAUCUCAAAAAAAGACCCAAAAUACAAAAAAGAAAGGAAAGGAAGAGAAAGGAAAGCAAAGGAAAGGAGAGGAAAGGAAAGGAAAGGAAGAAAAAAAGAAAGAAAGAGAGAGAAAGGAGGGAGGGAGGGAGGAAGGAAGAAAAUAAAGAGAAAAAAAGUAAAAGAAAGAAGAAAGAAGCUAGACACUGUGGCCCAUGUUAGUAAUCCCAGAGAUUUGGGAGGCUGAGGCAGGAGGAUUGCUUAAGGCUAGGAGUUUGAGACCAGCUUGGGCAACACAGUGAGACCACAAACAAAUUUUAAAUAAUUAGUCAGGCACGGUAGUGUGUGCCUGUAGUCCGAGCUACUCAGGAGGCUGAGGCAGAAGAAUUGCUUGAACCCAGGAGUUCAGGUUUACAAAUAGUGUAGUGAUUAUGCCAUUACGCUCCAGCCUGGGUGGCAGAGCAAGACUCUGUCUCAAAAGAAAAAAAUAAAAACAAAAACAAAAAGCAAGAAAGGAAAGAAGAAAGAAAAGAAGAAACUGCAAGGAGAGAAGAAAAUUCUAAAGUUGGUUCAGGCGAUCUAAUAUAAAAAGAAGAGAAUUCUAGAAAGAGAAAAGAUAAACAAAAUUGAAUAAGUACAAUUGUUGGAGAAAUAUUUCAAGAAAAGACCCACCAUAUUGUUUGCAAAAAAGAAUAAAGAGUGAACCACACUGAGACACAUAAAUACGAAAGUUCUGAACCUUGAAUACAAAAAGAAGAUCCUAAGCACUUCAAGAGGAAAUAGGAGGUCACAUGCACAAGGUAAGAAGUCAAAAGUGCUUCAGAAAUCUCUAAACAAAACAAAAACAAGUAAAAAUGAAAACACUAGAAACUAGAAAACAAGAGUACAUUGCUUUCAAAGUUUUGAGAAAAAUGAUUUAUGAUCUAGAAGUUCCUUUCAGCCAGGUUAUCAAAUUUCAAACAAAAACAAAAACACUCAAGCACGUUUUCUUUGGAAGUUCCUAAACAAUUUAUUCCCCAAAUGAAAGCAUAAGUCAAAAAAGUGUAAGACACAGAAUCCAGGUGCUCUAGCAAGGGAAAAUCUGUAGAACGUUUGCAGAAUGACAGUUGUGCCACAGGCCCAUUCAAAUUAGAGUAGGGCAACAGGAGAGAAGAGAACAAAGCUGAGGAGAGGACAGGAUGGGAG
rnacentral:lncRNA from 10 species